rnacentral:rRNA from 1 species
GACGGACGCUGGCGGCGUGCCUAAUACAUGCAAGUCGAGCGAUGAUUAAAGAUAGCUUGCUAUUUUUAUGAAGAGCGGCGAACGGGUGAGUAACGCGUGGGAAAUCUGCCGAGUAGCGGGGGACAACGUUUGGAAACGAACGCUAAUACCGCAUAACAAUGAGAAUCGCAUGAUUCUUAUUUGAAAGAAGCAAUUGCUUCACUACUUGAUGAUCCCGCGUUGUAUUAGCUAGUUGGUAGUGUAAAGGACUACCAAGGCGAUGAUACAUAGCCGACCUGAGAGGGUGAUCGGCCACACUGGGACUGAGACACGGCCCAGACUCCUACGGGAGGCAGCAGUAGGGAAUCUUCGGCAAUGGGGGCAACCCUGACCGAGCAACGCCGCGUGAGUGAAGAAGGUUUUCGGAUCGUAAAACUCUGUUGUUAGAGAGGAACGUUAAGUAGAGUGGAAAAUUACUUAAGUGACGGUAUCUAACCAGAAAGGGACGGCUAACUACGUGCCAGCAGCCGCAGUAA